rnacentral:lncRNA from 10 species
AUGACCCAGAAAUUCCACCCUUAGAUACUUACUGAAAAGAAAUAAGACUUGUACAUGAAUGUUCACAGUGCUUUAUUUUUACUAGCACCAAACUGCAAACAACCCAAGUAUCCACCUCCAGUUUCAUAGAUAAACAUUGUGGUUUACAGUGGAAUACUUCUCAGAAGUAAAAAAUGAAUGACUUUUACAUACAACAUAGAUUAAUCAUAAAAACUUGCUAAGCAAAAGAAGGCAGACACAAAAUAGGUACUUUGUAAUUCCAUUUAUAUGAAAUUAAGCAACAGGCACAACUACUAUCUAGUAACAGAAAGCAGUUCACUCGUUGACUGGGUCUAGGCAUGGCGAUAGGAACUGACUGCAAAGGAACAGAGGGAACUUUUCGGCAUGGAAGAAACAUCCUGUAUCAUUGUGGUUGUGGUUAGAUGGGUAUGUACAUUUUUCAAAACGUGUGUCAAAACUUAAAACAGGUGCAUUUUACUGUAUAUAAAAUAUACCUCUAUAAAAUUGAUUUUUAAAGUGAAAUAAAGUUCUCACUCUUUUCCCCCAUACCAAAAAUAAUUAUAUAUUUAAAAGGAGGAGUAAUUGCAAACAUUAUGUUUUUUUACUGGUAAACUGAGUAUGGGUUGAGCAUCCCUAAUCUGAAUAUGCGAAAUCCAAUAUGCUCCCAAAUCUGAAGCUUUUUGAGUGCCUGUGUGAUGCCACAAGUGGAAAAUUCCACAUAUGACUUCACAUGACGAGUCAUAGUCAAAACACAGUCAAAACUUUGUUCCUUGGACAAAUUAUAAAUACUGUAUAAAAUUACCUUCAGGCUAUAUAUAUAUGAGGUGUAUAUGAAACAUAAAUGAAUUUCAUGUUUAGACUUGGGUCUCUUCCCCUGGAUAUCUCG